GCCCCUGUAGUUCAAUGGAUAGAACUCCAGACUUCUAAGCUGGCUAUGUAGGUUCGAUUCCUACCGGGGGCACCA
rnacentral:tRNA from 1 species